ACCAUAUGUAAGCCAAAGACUACAUCCUUUUCAAGCUGGGCUGCUGAAUGCAUACAGAAUAUUGUGAAUGCAAUAGAUCAUUAUUCUGCCUAUAAAUUUAUUAUUUUGUUUGGCAUAGCUUUCUACUUAUGGUACAUUCUGUGCUAUGACGUCAACGAAAACGUGGCCGAGGAAUGGCGCUACAUUUCGAUAAUGAAAAAAUCAGGGACACUAAUGAAGGUUUUCUACUACGUGAUGCGAAAGAUGCGCAUCCCCAUUUUCUGAUGCCAGUUAGAGAGAAAUUUCAAAUAUUAAUCAAACAUUCUGCAUUUGAAUAAUAAAAUGGCAGCAAUACUGUUUUAUUCAGUUCGA